rfam:Gossypium raimondii Chr08_contig_12, whole genome shotgun sequence.
AAUAGGAGAAUGAUAAAUUAGAUUUUUCUUCCUGAUUUUUAGUAUCUUCCUCCUAAAAAAUUUCAAAUUCAACAAAAAAUACUAAAAAUCAGAGGGGAAUCUGAUUUGUCGUUCUCUUAUU